rnacentral:rRNA from 1 species
UACGGAGGAUGCGAGCGUUAUCCGGAAUCAUUGGGUUUAAAGGGUGCGUAGGCUGGUAUUUAAGUCAGUGGUUGAAAUUUUCGUGCUUAACAUGAGAGCUGCCAUUGAUACUGGGUACCUAGAGUGUAUUUGAUGUGGGCGGAAUGUGUUGUGUAGCGGUGAAAUGCUUAGAUAUGACACAGAACACCGAUAGCGAAGGCAGCUCACAAAGUUACAACUGACGCUGAUGCACGAAAGCGUGGGGAUCAAACAGG